rnacentral:misc_RNA from 1 species
GCCGAUCGCCUCAUAUGCAAUCGAAUCGAAUUCGACGCCGUUUGGCUAGUACUACUACUCCGUCGAAUAUCCAUUUUCUUAUGCAUACUACAACGGAACGAACCUGGAUGAUUCGUCGGCGAACACAUACACCUCUUCUUCUGAGAAGAAGCCAGUGUUUUCUGCCGGUUCAUUACGGAAAUAGACCGGCUUGGGGAAGUUUCACGGUCCAGUGUAAACCGGAUCGAUGAAGCAGAAGACGACGAAGUUCUAGAUGACGAUGAGUAAAAUCUGCCGGCGGGAGAUAAUGAACGGAGCACCGGUCCGGUUGAUCGCCGUGCAGAAGCCGCCAUUUUUUGUUGUUUUACAGUUGAGAGAGAAGAAGAAGAAGAUUGGAGAGUAUUUCUUAGUGCCGCG